rnacentral:rRNA from 1 species
GCAAGUCGAGCGGAAACGACACUAACAAUCUUUCGGGUGCGUUAAUGGGCGUCGAGCGGCGGACGGGUGAGUAUUGCCUAGGAAUUUGCCUUGAUGUGGGGGAUAACCAUUGGAAACGAUGGCUAAUACCGCAUAAUGCCUACGGGCCAAAGAGGGGGAUCUUCGGACCUCUCGCGUCAAGAUAUGCCUAGGUGGGAUUAGCUAGUUGGUGAGGUAAUGGCUCACCAAGGCGACGAUCCCUAGCUGGUCUGAGAGGAUGAUC